UGUUAUAAGAUUAAUUUAUUUUUAAAACAGCAACCAGUUUCAUCAAUUGUCUCCCUUGAAGAGAUUAUAACUGACUAGUUCCAAGGUACAAUGACUUGAUGUAUUGACUUUUUAUUACCCAUGUAUACUGUUCAAGAUUGCAUGUUUGAAUGAAAAGUUAUGAUAUGUAUUUGUUUGCUUUCAAAACAGAACAAAACCGCUAUGAUAUCAGCAUGGCCAGUAACUGCAAUGAAAUAGAAUCAUCAAAAACAUGCACAUGUGUGAUUGGUCACUUCUGAAACUAAAUGAAUUUCAUAUACACUCAGUUCUUUUGAAUUGACCUUGAACGUUUUUUUUUAUAUUCAGUAUGUUUAUGUGUCC
rnacentral:lncRNA from 1 species